GGCAACAAUCUUCUUCAACACGAGGCGUGCUACAGCUGGAACUUGACUACAUUCGGAGUGUUGAACGACUGAGGAGGUGGGGGUCCAUCAGGUAACCCGGAGAAGAUCCGUUGAAAAUUUAAGAAGGGGGGCUGUACUCGUCAGAUCUGGUCGCAUAGGGAGGAAGAAAUCUUGGCAGC